ensembl:lncRNA
CUCCACCUACUCCUCUCCCCUCCUCCUCUCUCUGUCUCCCCCUCCCUCACUUUCCUCUCUGUCUCUUCCUGUAAAGUAUGGAUCACAUAUAAACUGAGGACGAUCACUCUGCAGCCUCUGGGCGGAUCCAUGAGCCUACAGCUCCUCAUUCCAGAAGGUCUCCUCUAUGUCCUCAUUCCAGAAGGUCUCCUCUAUGUCCUCAGUCCAGAAGGUCUCCUCUGUCCUCCGUCCAGAAGGUCUCCUCUAUGUCCUCAGUCCAGAAGGUCUCCUCUAUGUCCUCAGUCCAGAAGGUCUCC